AUUGAACGCUGGCGGCAGGCCUAACACAUGCAAGUCGAGCGGAUGAAGGGAGCUUGCUCCUGGAUUCAGCGGCGGACGGGUGAGUAAUGCCUAGGAAUCUGCCUGGUAGUGGGGGAUAACGUCCGGAAACGGGCGCUAAUACCGCAUACGUCCUGAGGGAGAAAGUGGGGGAUCUUCGGACCUCACGCUAUCAGAUGAGCCUAGGUCGGAUUAGCUAGUUGGUGGGGUAAAGGCCUACCAAGGCGACGAUCCGUAACUGGUCUGAGAGGAUGAUCAGUCACACUGGAACUGAGACACGGUCCAGACUCCUACGGGAGGAAGCAGUGGGGAAUAUUGGACAAUGGGCGAAAGCCUGAUCCAGACAUGCCGAGUGUGUGAAGAAGGUCUUCGGAUUGUAAAGCACUUUAAGUUGGGAGGAAGGGCAGUAAGUUAAUACCUUGCUGUUUUGACGUUACCAACAGAAUAAGCACCGGCUAACUUCGUG
rnacentral:rRNA from 1 species